GAUCCCUUGCAUUUAUGCAGCCUAGAUGAACAACUUAGUCCGGAUCACUACCGGAGCGAGCCAGCCUAAUGGGUCGAACAGCUGUGCCCGAGUGUGGAGGCACCCGAGGCGACGUCGUCGACGUAUCUGCUACGGCUACGCCGAAGUGUCUAUCGGAAACCGAGCUUUCUCAUCUUCGGUAAGCUGAUCUAGCGUACGGACAGCGAGGAACGGAGCACACGCCAAUCCAUCACGGUCCUCCGGAUGUACCAGGAUCUGACGGUUUGACGAUGUCAGUGACAAAGUAAAGUGACGUAAAGAUACCACCGCCAGGGGAGGAGGAUGUCUGAUAGAGCCGACAGUAGGUUGGGUCCUACCAGCAGAUGA